UCACUCUGGUUUCUCUUCAGAUUGUGUAAAUCUUUUGCCUUUUACUAAAGAUUCCCAUGGAGAGGCAAAAAAAAUAAUGACCACUCUUUUAAAAAAAAGACAAAACAAUUUU